rnacentral:rRNA from 1 species
AAAUUGAAGAGUUUGAUCAUGGCUCAGAUUGAACGCUGGCGGCAGGCCUAACACAUGCAAGUCGAACGGUAACAGGAAUCAGCUUGCUGAUUUGCUGACGAGUGGCGGACGGGUGAGUAAUGUCUGGGAAACUGCCUGAUGGAGGGGGAUAACUACUGGAAACGGUAGCUAAUACCGCAU